AAAGAUUAAGCCAUGCAUGUCUAAGUACAAGCCUCAGCAAGGUGAAACCGCGAAUGGCUCAUUAAAUCACACCUAAUGUACUGGACAGUUUCAGUUACUUGGAUAACUGCGGUAAUUCUGGAGCUAAUACAUGCGUACAAGCCCUGACUCACGGAGGGGCGCUUUUAUUAGACUAAAACCAAACGGCUUCGGCCGUUCCACUGGUGAAUCUGAAUAACUUUUUGCGGAUCGCACGGCCUUGUGCCGGCGACGUGUCCUUCCAAGGAGUGCCCUAUCAACUGUCGACUGU
rnacentral:rRNA from 1 species